GAUCAUGGCUCAGGAUGAACGCUGGCGGCGUGCCUAAUACAUGCAAGUCGAACGCUGGAGAUCUAGCUUGCUAGAUCGAAGGAGUGGCGAACGGGUGAGUAAUACAUAAGCAACCUACCCACGAAGACUGGGAUAAUCUCUGGAAACGGGGACUAAUACCGGAUAGGUAAUCGGAAGGCAUCUUCUGGUUAUUAAAGGUUAAAAACACUGGUGGAUGGGCUUAUGGCGCAUUAGUUAGUUGGUG
rnacentral:rRNA from 1 species